AAUAUUAUUUAUUAUUAUUAAUUAUUAUUAUUAUUGUUGUUAUUAUUAUUACGUAAAUUAACACGCAUUAAUUUCUCCUAUCGAUCAUUCAUUCACUAAUCUCACUUUCGUUUCUUCACGUUUUCUCCAUUUAGAUCUCAUUCGCGCGUCUCUUUUGCACAAUUUUCGUUCAUCGCUAUACACAUGCGCACACGCAGACACUCGUCUAGGAUAUUAGACUCUCUCUCUCCUUAACAAGAUACAUAAUUAAAUGUAUAUAUAUAUAUAUAUAUACAUGUACAUAUACAUAUAUUUAUAUAUAUAUAUAUGCUCGCCGUUUUGCGACGCGCCAAUGAUAAAACAUAAAUACACGCUUCUUAGGGCACCUUUGGUAUUAAGCUUGAUGUAUUCGUCUUCGUCUCUUUUGUAUCUCUAUAUUAUGCAAUUUCGUCUACGAGCCUCCGCGCUUGUCUUCGCAUUUUUUUUUUCUUUUCUCUUCUUUUCCUUUUCUCUCAUUCGAAUCCACGUGGAUCGA
rnacentral:lncRNA from 1 species